GCCGGCGUAGCUCAGUUGGUAGAGCAGUUGAUUUGUAAUCAUCAGGUCCCGAGUUCGAAUCUUGGCGCCGGCACCA
rnacentral:tRNA from 1 species